AUACUUACCUGGACUGGGUCGAUGUGUGAUCAAUAAGACUCAUGGCCUAGGCUAGUGGCUUUCAAUGCACUUGGAGUUGCACCGCCAAAGGUCACCUCAAGUGGGAGAUCCUAUGUCAUUCUUUGUGGCAGUGGGGGCUGCAUUCGCGCGGCCCCUU